GACGGAGGAGGCAAGCGUUGUCCGGAAUUAUUGGGCGUAAAGAGCGCGUAGGCGGUUUUCCAAGUCAUAUGUGAAAACUUUAGGCUUAACCUAAAGAUUGCAUGUGAAACUGGAUAACUAGAGUACGGCAGAGGAAAGUGGAAUUCCUGGUGUAGCGGUGAAAUGCGCAGAUAUCAGGAAGAACACCAGUGGCGAAGGCGGCUUUCUAGGCCGUUACUGACGCUGAGGCGCGAAAGCUAGGGGAGCGAACAGGAUUAGAUACC
rnacentral:rRNA from 1 species